GCCUUGCAAGAUGAUGGCGUGAGCACGUAUCUUCGCGUUGGUCUUGACCCUGACUAUGAUCCCUUUGCCACCUCGAUGACUACCAAGAAUGAAUCCCUGACGCUUGAUGAUGUGUUUGCACAUCUAAUGACAUUUGAAA